rnacentral:rRNA from 1 species
AUGUUUCAGUUGGUCAGAUGGAGCAUAAGUGCCGUCAGCAAAUGUGUUCUCAGCGAGAUACUAGAUGCAUGGGAGUUGACUACAUAUGUUGUGGCUAAGAUCGAUAGAAGAGAGAAUAAGUGUGAAGUGCGCUACGAGAUGAAGGAUGGUUCUUUGUACAUGAUCAGUUGUUCUUGUCGUAAGUUGGAAUGCUUGGGAACACCUUGCUCUCACAUAUUCUAUAUCUUGGGAAUACGUCAAGUAGAACUGCUACCUAGGUGUUGUGUUCCCAUGAGGUGGACGAUGAGAGCGAAGUCUGCAUUCCCUCCGACCAGAAAGAGCAAGAUGUAUGACUAUUCGGCAAGCCUUGUGAGGUACCGUGAGUUGCGGAAUUUGAGUCACGCGUCAUGUUUUCGGGCAUGUCAAUCUAGUGAGGAGUAUCAGCGUCUGAAGAUGGUUCUGAGUGAACAAGAUGGUAGCAAGGAAUCAAGCCGUGGUCAGGAGGAAUGCAUUAGGUUUGGUCCGGUGCUGCCACAGAUGACGGAAAUUGAUUGUGGAGAUUUGGAAAAGGUUCUGGACCCAGUGCAAGGCCGAGGUGCACCGAAGAAAAGGUUGCAGGCAAAGAUGAAGAAGCAAAGAUCAAAGAGGAAAUGUGGCUACUAUGGGGUGGAAGGUCAUGAUCGGCGUAUAUGCAAUAAAUUGAAAGAGGAAAUGAUGGCAGCAAACUGUUAG